ACGCUCGACACCUACGGGACGCAGCAGUGGGGAAUAUUGCACAAUGGGGGAAACCCUGAUGCAGCGACGCCGCGUGAGCGAAGAAGUAUCUCGGUAUGUAAAGCUCUAUCAGCAGGGAAGAAGAUGACGGUACCUGACUAAGAAGCACCGGCUAAAUACGUGCCAGCAGCCGCGGUAAUCUGAGCGGGCUGGCAAGGC
rnacentral:rRNA from 1 species